AGAGUUUGAUCCUGGCUCAGAUUGAACGCUGGCGGAAUGCUUUACACAUGCAAGUCGAACGGUAACAGCAGAGCUUGCUCUGGCUGACGAGUGGCGGACGGGUGAGUAAUAUAUCGGAACGUGUCCAAUAAUGGGGGAUAACUAGCCGAAAGGUUGGCUAAUACCGCAUACGCCCUGAGGGGGAAAGCUGGGGAUCUUCGGACCUGGCGUUAAUGGAGCGGCCGAUACCUGAUUAGCUAGUAGGUGGGGUAAAAGCCUACCUAGGCAACGAUCAGUAGCUGGUCUGAGAGGACGACCAGCCACACUGGGACUGAGACACGGCCCAGACUCCUACGGGAGGCAGCAGUGGGGAAUUUUGGACAAUGGGGGCAACCCUGAUCCAGCCAUUCCGCGUGAGUGAAGAAGGCCUUCGGGUUGUAAAGCUCUUUCGCAAGAGAAGAAACGAUAUAGGUUAAUAGCCUAUGUUAAUGACGGUAUCUUGACAAGAAGCACCGGCUAACUACGUGCCAGCAGCCGCGGUAAUACGUAGGGUGCAAGCGUUAAUCGGAAUUACUGGGCGUAAAGCGUGCGCAGGCGGUUUGGUAAGUCAGAUGUGAAAUCCCCGAGCUCAACUUGGGAACUGCGUUUGAAACUACCAGACUAGAAUAUGUCAGAGGGGGGUAGAAUUCCACGUGUAGCAGUGAAAUGCGUAGAGAUGUGGAGGAAUACCAAUGGCGAAGGCAGCCCCCUGGGAUAAUAUUGACGCUCAUGUACGAAAGCGUGGGGAGCGAACAGGAUUAGAUACCCUGGUAGUCCACGCCCUAAACGAUGUCAACUAGUUGUUGGUG
rnacentral:rRNA from 1 species